CGUCACCUGGCUACUUUUCGGGCAGGCUUUAGCUACUUUUCAUUGGACAUAGUUGGCAACACUGUGCCCUGCUAACGUGUAUCUUGUUCGUCGGGUUCUUAUAGUCGAAGAUGGAUAGUCAUACUUCUGCUCCUCUGCCUGGUAGACCAUCUACCUACAUUCAUCAGGAAACCUUAAUUGCAGAUACUUGUCCUGGAUGGAAUACCACAAUGAGCUGUGGUGAAGCAGCAGAUCAAGACACCAAAGUAGAUAAAGCUUUGUGGCGUUUUCGAGGAGCUGAAAUCUGUUCAUAUGAAAAUGGGAUUCCAAAAUGUGAACAUCCACACUUUUUAAACCGAACUUGGUUUGCAUCCAUCCGACAGAAUAACUUCUCUUUGGUCAUUAAUGAUGUCAGACUGCAGGAUCAGGGGGAAUAUAAGUGUCUGAUAAAUGAUAAAGUAAUGCAGAGGAAUAACCUUUAUGUUAACGACGGUCCUUUUUGUAAGCCGGAUGAAGACAAAGACAAAGACAAAGAAGUUCCUGAUGAAAACCCUCUAGGUAAGUUUAUACUCUGUCUGAUAAACAUGCUUCUGCCCCAGAGUGAAUCCUACAUUCUCUGAUCCUUCA